rnacentral:rRNA from 1 species
CCUACGGGUGGCAGCAGUGAGGAAUAUUGGUCAAUGGGCGUAAGCCUGAACCAGCCAAGUCGCGUGAGGGAUGAAGGUUCUAUGGAUCGUAAACCUCUUUUAUAAGGGAAUAAAGUGCGGGACGUGUCCCGUUUUGUAUGUACCUUAUGAAUAAGGAUCGGCUAACUCCGUGCCAGCAGCCGCGGUAAUACGGAGGAUCCGAGCGUUAUCCGGAUUUAUUGGGUUUAAAGGGUGCGUAGGCGGCCUUUUAAGUCAGCGGUGAACGUCUGUGGCUCAACCAUAGAAUUGACGUUGAAACUGGGAGGCUUGAGGAUGUUUGAGGUAGGCGGAAUGCGUGGUGUAGCGGUGAAAUGCAUAGAUAUCACGCAGAACUCCGAUUGCGAAGGCAGCUUACUAAACUAUAACUGACACUGAAGCACGAAAGCGUGGGGAUCAAACAGGAUUAGAUACCCCUGUAGUC